GACGAACGCUGGCGGCGUGCCUAAUACAUGCAAGUAGAACGCAGUUGCGAACGGGUGAGUAACGCGUAGGUAACUGCCUCAUAGCGGGGGAUAACUAUUGGAAACGAUAGCUAAUACCGCAUACUGUGAGAUGGACCUGCGUUGUAUUAGCUAGUUGGUGAGGUAAAGGGUCACCAAGGCGAAGAUACAUUGCCGACCUGGGCAGGGUAUCGGGCAAACCGGGACCGGGACACGGCCCAAACCCCUUCGGGAGGGAGCAAGAAGGAAACUUUGGGAAAGGGCCGAAGUCUGACCGGACAAACGCGCGGUGGUGGAUGAGGGUUUCGGGUCCUAAAGCUCUGUUGUUAGAGAAGCGGUAACUAACCAGAAAGGCACGGCUAACUACGUGCCAGCAGCCGCGGUAAUAC
rnacentral:rRNA from 1 species